GGUGGAAUGAUCCAGCGAAGAUUAGCCCGGCCCCUGAGCAAGGAUGACACACCACUCGUGACGCAUUCCCUCUUUUU
rnacentral:snRNA from 1 species